CCCAAAUGCGAUCGUGCGGUCGAUUGUGCUGUACGACAUAACCUGUGUACAGCGCAUGGCAGGACGUCAGCCCCCCCCGGUUCUGUGAGACCUACUGUGCACUGUGUGGAAAAUGGCUUGAUGUAUGACUAAGGAAUUAUCUGAGUAAACCGCACCUCACCCCUACAGCGAGUCAUGUGAUUCCUGAUGUUACUUGGCGAUUUAACCAGCGAGUGUAGUACUCCAGUUGGGCCUCCAGCACCCGCAAUUCCACCGGACGUUUCGUGGCCACAUGGUCCACACAGCUGGGCGUGGUUACAUGUUCCGAUCUCGUGGUGAUGGCGGUGGUUGUAUUGGUGGCACAGCUUACGGGGAGUCAUGAUGGACUGUCUUGCUGUGCAAAACUUUCCUGCAAGGGCUCUUCAUUGUCCAGUGAACUUGAAAAACAUAAUUCGACAAUUAACUGAUCGUGAAUCUGACAUGAACUUUUUAUACAAUUUCAAACGUGUAAAUAUAUCUUGUUCACUAAGGCACCGUUCAUAAUUUAUGGCUAGUGGGCAUGGGAUGGGGUGGAUUGAUGAUGAUUUUAAUGGAGGAG